rfam:Trichobilharzia regenti genome assembly, scaffold: TRE_scaffold0016291
GUACUGCUGAAGAGUCCCAAACUAGAACGAAACAUCUGUCCAGUAC